CCAAUAGCGUAUAUUAAAGUUGUUGCAGUUAAAAAGCUCGUAGUUGAAUUUCGGGGUUAGUAGGCUGGUCAUGCCUCUGGUAUGUACUGGUCUCACUGAUUCCUCCUUCCUGAUGAGCUGUAAUGCCAUUAAUUUGGUGUUGCAGGGAAUCUGGACUGUUACUUUGAAAAAAUUAGAGUGUUUAAAGCAGGCUAACGCUUGAAUACAUUAGCAUGGAAUAAUGAAAUAGGACGUUCGAUCCUAUUUUGUUGGUUUCUAGGAUUGACGUAAUGAUUAAUAGGGAUAGUUGGGGGCAUUAGUAUUCAAUUGUCAGAGGUGAAAUUCUUGGAUUUAUUGAAGACUAACUACUGCGAAAGCAUUUGCCAAGGAUGUUUUCAUUAAUCAAGAACGAAAGUUAGGGGAUCGAAGACGAUCAGAUACCGUCGUAGUCUUAACCAUAAACUAUGCCGACUAGGGAUCGGAUGAUGUUAAUUUUUUAAUGACUCAUUCGGCGCCUUACG
rnacentral:rRNA from 1 species